CGCGUAGGCGGCUCAUUAAGUGGCUGGUGAAAUCCCGGGGCUCAACUCCGGGGCUGCCGGUCAGACUGGUGGGCUUGAGCACGGUAGAGGCGGAUGGAAUUCCCGGUGUAGCGGUGGAAUGCGUAGAGAUCGGGAAGAAUACCGGUGGCGAAGGCGUUCCGCUGGGCCGUUGCUGACGCUGAGGCGCGACAGCGUGGGGAGCAAACA
rnacentral:rRNA from 1 species